UGUAUCUCCAAAGGGCAGCAUCAAAGUGACAGCCAGUACCAUCUCCAGCAGGGGCUGAGUUGCUGGGGUGGAGGAGAGAACCACAGUCCCAGCCUUGCACACUUCCAUGGGGCCGGCCAAACCCCCAAGAGAAUGGCAGCCUGGGUGUCUGAGCCAGCACCUGGGCAGCCUGUGAGCACAGGGUGAAGCCUGAGCGCUCGAAUGGCCAACGCCACAGGGCUGAACGCACCAGAAGUCGCAGCCUCGAUGGGGUUGAUCCUGGCGGCUGUCGUGGAGGCGGCAGCACUGCUGGGCAACGGCGCACUGCUGGUUGUGGUGCUGCGCACGCCGGGACUACGCGACGCGCUCUACCUCGUGCACCUGUGCGUAGUGGACCUGCUGGCUGCCGGCUCCAUCAUGCCGCUGGGCCUGCUGGCCGCUCCGCCGCCGGGGCUGGGCCGCGUGCGCCUGGGCCCCGCGCCCUGCCGCGCGGCACGCUUCCUCUCGGCGGCGCUGCUGCCCGCCUGUACGCUCGGCGUGGCGGCGCUCGGCCUGGCGCGCUACCGCCUCAUAGUGCACCCGCUGCGGCCCGGCGCACGGCCUCCGCCCACCCUCGUGCUCACCGCCGUGUGGGCGGCGGCGGGGCUGCUGGGCGCGCUCUCCUUGCUCGGGCCGCCGCCCGCACCGCCCCCUGCCCCGGCUCGCUGCUCUGUCCUGGCAGGGGGCCUCGAGCCCUUCCGGCCGCUCUGGGCGCUGCUGGCCUUCGCGCUGCCCGCCCUCCUGCUGCUCGGAGCGUACGGCGGCAUCUUCCUCGUGGCGCGCCGCGCUGCCCUGCGGCCCCCGCGGCCCGCGCGCGGGUCCCGGCCGCGCUCCGACUCUCUGGACAGCCGCCUCUCCAUUUUGCCGCCCCUUCGGCCUCGCCCGCCCUGGGGCAAAGCAGCCCUGGCCCCGGCGCUGGCCGUGGGCCAGUUCGCAGCCUGCUGGCUGCCUUACGGCUGUGCGUGCUUAGCGCCCGCUGCCCAGGCCGCCGCGGCCGAGGCGGCCGUCACCUGGGUAGCCUACUCGGCCUUCGCGGCUCACCCCUUCCUGUACGGCCUGCUGCAGCGCCCUGUACGCCGGACGCUGGGCCGUCUCGCCCGACGAGCGCUACCCCGGCCCCCGCGGGCCUGCACUUCGCGGGCCUGGCACCCGCGGGCCCUCCUGCAGCACCUCCAUAGACCUCCAGAGGGCCCUGUCCUAGGCCCUUCUGAGGCUCCAGAACAAGCCCGGGAUUUGGCAGGAAGGGAGAGCCUGAGCAUGCCAGAGGCCACGUGAGAGAUGUCUCCCAAGGUGAGCCGGGACUGGAGAAAGCAGGGUGGUAUCACAAAGGGCCCAUCCAGCCUCCAGCACAGCUUAUGGCAGGUAGCCUGCCUGCACUUCUGGCUCUGGAAUGGGAGAAAGGGGACCUGCAGCCAAGUGAAGCCCAGAGGCUUCUGGGAGCUAGGAAUCCUGAGUUCUGGGCCCAACUCUGCAUGGCCUUGUACACAGACCUACCCUUCACUAGGUAUCAGUUUUCCCAUCUGUACCCUGGACCAUCUCUAAGGGCUUCUCCAGCUUGGGUGAUCUGGACACUCAUGGGUGAUCCCCAGGCCAAGGAAGAAGCAGAGGUGGGCAGGAUCACAGAAGGCCCUAAUGGCUCACAGCCAAAGGGAAUGGGCCAAGUAGGGCAGGGUCUGGGUUACAGCCACAGCAGGAGGAACCAGUGAAGGGACAUUCAGAAAGACCUCCUGCACAUCUGCACCAAGGAGAGGCUGGACAAAACUACUGGAACUCCUCCAUCAGCUUCUAAAAAUGCCCAGAAAACAACUGGAUCGCUUUGGUGCCAGAGGCAGGAGGCUGGACAACAUGACCCCCCAAAGAGCCCUGAAGCCCCAGAACUGGCAUGUGGAAGGGGCCGAGGCCCAGCUGGGGCUGAUGGAGUCACAGAUGGGGGUCCUCUGGGGUCUCAGCUACACCCGUUUUCUGGAGGUUUUGCCAAUACCCACAGUGUUUCACAGCUUCCUGGUCUCUCAGAAUAUUUAUUCAAAAACAGGAAUUGAAAAAACUGUACAGAGUGUCUGCUGCUGAGAACUCGGCCCCUGCCCCCAUGCCACUCCCCCAGCUGCCUGGCAGUGCCCCCUCUUCGGGCUGCCCUCUGCCAAGCCCAGCCAGUCCAUUCCAGUCAAAAGGGUAUCAGUGGAAGCAGCAGGAAUCUGCAGGGAGGUGGGGAGAGAAGCAUGGCCCCCAGCCGCCCCCAGGCCUCCUCCCUGAUCCCCACAGGGGGACAGGAGGCAGGGAAGCCCUGAGGGAUGGGGAGUGCAUGAGUGACCCCCGCAAAGUGGGGGCACUUAGGAUGCUCCCUGCAUCCAAGCACAGAGCUAGAGGGGAUCAAGACCCCUACCCUGGGGCUGCUGCAGCUCCCAGAACCCUGGGCCAAAAACAGCCCCCACUCCGAGAGCAGGAACUCCCACAGACCGGGGCAGGGUGGGGGGGUGCAUCCAUGCGUCUGGGCAUUAGCGGCGUUUGGGACCGCCCCCCCCCCCGGGGGUGGAGUCUCCUUGGGCAGAUAGUGGAGGCAGCCCCCUGCCGGCAGUCCUGCCUGCUCCCGUGCCUGUGCCUCAGCUGGCCUCAGUAGGGGGAGAAUUUCUGCCGCUCAGCUUUCUUGCUCCCAUUGGCCGCUGCCAUCUUGGCAGUGUAGGCCGCCAAGCCCGGCGGUGGCCCUGGGGAGGCAGGUGGUAGAGCCAAGAAGGGUACAGGCUUGAGGCCGAUGAAGUUGGAGAGGGAGAUGGCAUAGGGCGUGCCCAGCAGGCCUGGGGGAGCGGUGGGCAGGGCCGUCAGGGGUGGCGAGAAGGGGGCAGGCAGGUCUGUGGGGGCCGAGCCGGGUGUCCCCCCAGAGGUAGACUUGGCCGUUUCUAGACUGGAAAGAGGGAUAGAGAGGGAAGAUGAAGGGGAAGGUCGGGGGUGAGAAAGGAGGCAAUGAGGGCAAAUAUAAGGGGUGAGAUUAGAUGAAAAAUAGAGAGGACUUGAGAACAAUGACCUGGGGUGGGUGUGUUUGAGGAGAAGAUGGGAAAGGUUGGAAGAGCGCGGACGGGAAGAAAGGACAAGUAAAUAUAGCAUUGGGUAAGGGGAGAAAUGGGGAGGCCGAAGACCCAGGGAAAAGAGACAGGGUUGGAGAAACAGGACAUGGGGGACAGAUGUAUGGGGAAGAUGGGGCAACACUGAACAAGUGUGGCAAGGUUAGGGGAGGCAGAGGACAGGCCCAGGAGAAGGGAGGUCAGCUCUCCCCACCCGACCUGUGCCUUUCUCAGGCACAAAAGUCCCAUGACCUGUGAUACCCCACCCCACACUCACCAGGCAGUGAUGAGGUACUGGGCCAGGGCGAUGGACACUGGUGAACCAGUGAUGGUCACGUGCCGCUCACCAGCGCCCUCUGCUUGGUUCCCGAUCUUGAUAUGUGCCCCUGACAUCUGCCGGAUCUCACUGAUCUUGCUGCCCUGGCGCCCAAUCACGCAGCCAAUCAGCUGGAGAGAGGGUGGAAUUCAACCCUAGGUGAGGCCCAGACGCCCCAGGCCCCCCUACCCACCCUCAAACUACCCCAUCCCGUGCUCACGUCGUUGGGAACCAAGAACUCCUGUGAGCUGGUCUGUGUGCCAGGAUCCAGUCCUGCUGGGGGGAGAAGAGGGAUUGGGCGUGAGUCUGGACCUUUGCUGCCUCCCCAUGUCCUUUCCAGAGGGGCUACCUGGCCCCUUGGGAUCUGCCCCUGCUUCCUUCUGCAGGGACUGCUCACCUGGCACCAUGCUGGGUGAGGCGAAGGGGACUGCGUGGCCCGAGAGCUGCUGGAGCUUGGUGACCUGUGCCAAGAAGAAGGGUCAGGAGUCAGAGGAGGCUCAGUUCGGGAAGGGGUGCCUUGGGCUGCGGUCACUCACCUCAGCUGAGGUCACAGCCCCAUACUGACCCUGGACGGAGAAGCCCUGUGGGGACAAAGGCAGCACCUCCAGGAUGACAGCACAGAUCUGGCGCACACACAAGAUGAUGGCAUCAGGCACCCCAGAGACGGUGACAGCACGCUCUGUGGAGUUGGGGAGCAGGUCCCCUGCCACCUGCACCUGGGCACCUGUAGUCUGCAAGCAGAGAACGGGGGCCACUUUCAGCUACUCCCAUAGCCCAGAGCAUGCCUAGGCUCGGAGCUCCCCACAGGACAGGAAGCUGUAAGCCCAGGUCUCCCCUCGAAACUGAAGGCCAUUCUGUGGAGUCAGAGUCCUGUUCCUCCCGGGGAACCACCUGUGGCCCCCAGCCCCUCAGACAGCCACAGACCUCAUCCAGCUUGAAGGCAAUCAUGGAGACUGCAUGGAAGACGGCUGCUGUAGAUCCGGUGAUGGUGGUGAUGCGCUCAGGGCAGGAGCCCUCAGAGAUGGUGAUCCGGGCGCUACUCUGUGGGUGCAAGACAAGCGCCAGGCAACGGGGCUCCUUCUCUGCUUCCUGGCCAAGAACUUGCCUGCCCCUCCACUCACCAGGCCCCAGCCAAGCCUGGAAACAGCCACCUUCUAGGGGCACUCACUGGUCAUCCCAGCUGGUGGAUUCAGGGACAAGGUGAAGCAGGCAUCUCCCCUCCCCUCCAAACCAGAUGCCCUGGGCUCCUCUCCCAAACUCCGUUCUCACCUGUUCCCGGAUUCGCUUUACAGUCUCUCCUUUCUGCAGGAGACAAAAUAGGAGGCAAAAUAGAGAAUGGCUCUUAGGCCAAGCAGCCGUUGAUUCCUUUCCUGGACUGAGGUCUCAGGUUGAAGGGGACAUACAGAACAGAACGAGACCUCCAAUCUCUGUCUCCCCACCCCCCAAAACUCAGAGCAGGAAACUAGCUUG